AACGAACGCUGGCGGCAGGCCUAACACAUGCAAGUCGAACGCUCGUAGCAAUACGAGAGUGGCAGACGGGUGAGUAACACGUGGGAACCUUCCCUUUGGUUCGGAAUAGCUCAGGGAAACUUGAGGUAAUACCGGAUAAGCCCUUACGGGGAAAGAUUUAUCGCCAUAGGAUGGGCCCGCGUCGGAUUAGCUAGUUGGUGAGGUAACGGCUCACCAAGGCGACGAUCCGUAGCUGGUCUGAGAGGAUGAUCAGCCACACUGGGACUGAGACACGGCCCAGACUCCUACGGGAGGCAGCAGUGGGGAAUAUUGGACAAUGGGCGCAAGCCUGAUCCAGCCAUGCCGCGUGAGUGACGAAGGCCUUAGGGUUGUAAA
rnacentral:rRNA from 1 species